UACAGAGGAUGCAAGCGUUAUCCGGAAUGAUUGGGCGUAAAGCGUCCGCAGGUGGCUGUGUAAGUCUGCUGUCAAAGAGCAAAGCUCAACUUUGUAAAGGCAGUGGGAACUACACGGCUAGAGUGCGUUCGGGGCAGAGGGAAUUCCUGGUGUAGCGGUGAAAUGCGUAGAGAUCAGGAAGAACACCGGUGGCGAAGGCGCUCUGCUAGGCCGCAACUGACACUGAGGGACGAAAGCUAGGGGAGCGAAUGGG
rnacentral:rRNA from 1 species